AUGGCUCAGGAUGAACGCUAGCUACAGGCCUAACACAUGCAAGUCGCGGGGCAGCAUUGAGGUAGCAAUACCUCAGAUGGCGACCGGCGCACGGGUGCGUAACGCGUAUCCAACCUGGCCCUUACUCGGGUAUAGCCCUGCGAAAGUAGGAUUAAUCCCGAUGUUGUCAAGAUGGAGCCUUUUUUCUUGACCAAAGAUUUAUCGGUAAGGGAUGGGGAUGCGUUCCAUUAGCUGGUUGGCGGGGUAACGGCCCACCAAGGCGACGAUGGAUAGGGGUUCUGAGAGGAAGGUCCCCCACACUGGAACUGAGACACGGUCCAGACUCCUACGGGAGGCAGCAGUGAGGAAUAUUGGUCAAUGGUCGCGAGACUGAACCAGCCAAGUAGCGUGAAGGAUGAACAGCCCUCCGGGUUGUAAACUUCUUUUGCUGGAGAUUAAGAUGCGCCACUAGUGGCGUAGUGCAGUAAUCCAGCGAAUAAGCAUCGGCUAACUCCGUGCCAGCAGCCGC
rnacentral:rRNA from 1 species